UACCGGAUAAGUCUUUACGGAGAAAGCUUUAUGCACCAUUGGAUGAGCCCGCACUUGAUUAGUUUGUUGGUAGGGUAAUGGCCUACCAAGACUAUGAUCAAUAGCUGAUUUGAGAGGAUGAUCAGCCACAUUGGGACUGAGACACGGCCCAAACUCCUACGGGAGGCAGCAGUGGGGAAUCUUGCACAAUGGAGGAAACUCUGAUGCAGCGAUGCCGCGUGAGUGAAGAAGGCCUUUGGGUUGUAAAGCUCUUUC
rnacentral:rRNA from 1 species